GUGGUGUAAAUGGUUAACGCACUUGGCUGCUAACUGAAAGGUUGGUGGUUCAAAUCCACCC
rfam:Loxodonta africana unplaced genomic scaffold scaffold_28, whole genome shotgun sequence.